UACUAGAGUAGCACUCGCAUAUCAAUAAGCGGAGGAAAAGAAACUAACAAGGAUUCCCCUAGUAACGGCGAGUGAAGCGGGAAGAGCUCAAAUUUGAAAUCUUAAAGGGUUUCCCUUUACGAAUUGUAGUUUAAAGAAGUGUUUUCUGUUGAGGUUUUGGUAAAAGUUCUUAGGAAUAGGACAUCAUAGAGGGUGAGAAUCCCGUAUUUGACCUUUACUUUCAACUUUGUGAUACACUUUCAAAGAGUCGGAUUGUUUGGGAAUGCAGUCCAAAAUGGGUGGUAAAUUUCAUCUAAAGCUAAAUAUUGGCGAGAGACCGAUAGCGAACAAGUACCGUGAGGGAAAGAUGAAAAGAACUUUGAAAAGAGAGUUAAACAGUACGUGAAAUUGUCAAAAGGGAAGCGUUUGACACCAGUGUUGUUUUUCUGAAAAUCAAUUAAAGAACUGUUUAUGCUAAGUUGUUUAGACUUUAUCAGCUAACUGUUUAGUUUUGAGCUUUUCUUUAAUGCACUUUUCAGUUAACAAGUCAACAUCAAUUUCUUUUGCUGUAAAAAAGCUUGAGGAAGGUGGCUUGAGAUUCGUCUUAAGUGUUUAUAGCCUCUUGCCUAUGCAGUCGGAGAGAUUGAGGUCUGCAGCGUAGAUCCUUCGGGGCUAAAUGCAUUUGUGCUAAGUUAUAGCAUUUUAUAGACAACUUGUUGACUAUGAUUUGUCUUGUAGCUUACUCGCUUAUGUUAUUUUACCUACGCUUAGGAUGUUGAUCUCUCACAGUCGAGC
rnacentral:rRNA from 1 species